rnacentral:rRNA from 1 species
GACCAGCCACACUGGGACUGAGACACGGCCCAGACUCCUACGGGAGGCAGCAGUGGGGAAUUUUGGACAAUGGGGGAAACCCUGAUCCAGCCAUCCCGCGUGUGCGAUGAAGGCCUUCGGGUUGUAAAGCACUUUUGUCAGGGAAGAAAAGGUUUCGGAUAAUACCCGGAACUGAUGACGGUACCUGAAGAAUAAGCACCGGCUAACUACGUGCCAGCAGCCGCGGUAAUACGUAGGGUGCAAGCGUUAAUCGGAAUUACUGGGCGUAAAGCGUGCGCAGGCGGUUCGGAAAGAAAGAUGUGAAAUCCCAGGGCUCAACCUUGGAACUGCAUUUUUAACUACCGAACUAAAGUAUGUCAGAGGGGGGUGGAAUUCCACGUGUAGCAGUGAAAUGCGUACAUAUGUGGAGGAACACCGAUGGCGAAUGCAACCCCCUGGGAUAAUACUGACGCUCAUGCACGAGAGCGUGGGGAGCACACAGGAGUAGAUACCCUGGUAUUCCACGCGCUAUACGAUGUCAACUAUCUGUUGCGCCCUUCUGGGCUUAUUAUCGCAGCUAACGCGUGAAAUUGACCGCCUGGGGAGUACGGUCGCAAGAUUAAAACUCAAAGGAAUUGACGGGGACCCGCACAAGCGGUGGAUGAUGUGGAUUAAUU